rnacentral:rRNA from 1 species
GGCGGCAUGCCUUACACAUGCAAGUCGAACGGUAACAGGUUAAGCUGACGAGUGGCGAACGGGUGAGUAAUAUAUCGGAACGUGCCCAGUAGUGGGGGAUAGCCCGGCGAAAGCCGGAUUAAUACCGCAUACGACCUACGGGUGAAAGGGGGGGAUCGCAAGACCUCUCGCUAUUGGAGCGGCCGAUAUCAGAUUAGCUAGUUGGUGGGGUAAAAGCCUACCAAGGCGACGAUCUGUAGCUGGUCUGAGAGGACGACCAGCCACACUGGGACUGAGGCACGGCCCAGACUCCUACGGGAGGCAGCAGUGGGGAAUUUUGGACAAUGGGCGCAAGCCUGAUCCAGCCAUGCCGCGUGCGGGAAGAAGGCCUUCGGGUUGUAAACCGCUUUUGUCAGGGAAGAAAUCUUUUGGGUUAAUACCUCGGAAGGAUGACGGUACCUGAAGAAUAAGCACCGGCUAACUACGUGCCAGCAGCCGCGGUAAUACGUAGGGUGCAAGCGUUAAUCGGAAUUACUGGGCGUAAAGCGUGCGCAGGCGGU